rnacentral:lncRNA from 1 species
AUGCUGUCCCUUCUGCUGCCUCUCUAGUUUACUGAUCUGGCCCUUUUAGUAUAUCUCCGUACCUUCAGCUGAAGUUUAAGCCCUUAGAAGGCAGGUAGAGACUUGUACCUGGUAAAGCCUAGUCUGGUACCAGGAGAUACUUUAUGAUGAUAAAGGUGACUUACAAGGAAGUUAGCAAUUUCCCCACUUAGGAGUCUGAAUGAAGGACCAACUACCUUCAAAGGAAGCCAUCUGAAAAAUCCCUAGGGAGAGGGAUCUUCUAGGCAAGGAGAAGUUAAAAGAGAGUUAAUCACAUUCUAGUCUCCAGUGAAAAACUUAGGAGAUCUGGACCAACUGAGUUUUCAUAGAAAAGUAAAUAUGCCUAACUUCUCUUUAGGAAAAAUAAGGUCAGGAAAAAUGUAGGCAGCUUCUAAGGAGUACAGCAUUGAAACUGAAGGCUACAAUAAAAAGAUAAGAAACAAUUUAAUGUUAACCGUUGAUAGUUUGCAUUGCUAUCUCACAUAAAAGUGCUCCUUUGCCUUUUUGUUAUUCCAAAUGCUUUUGCAACAUUGGUCAAAUAAUUCUAUAACUCCUAAGCAGUGGUCAUUGUGAAACUUAUGAAAUUGAAUCAGUUGAUUAUACAUGCUUCAGAAGUAAACUUACUAAACACUUCUUAAAAAU